rnacentral:misc_RNA from 1 species
AACGCACCUUGCGCUCCUUGGUAUUCCGAGGAGCACGCCUGUUUGAGUGUCAUGAAUAUCUCAACCUGCAAAGCCUUUGUGCUUUUGUUAGGAUUGGACUUGGAGGGCUUUGCCGGCUGUGUUUAAUCACGGUAUGGCUCCUCUUAAAUUCAUUAGCUUGAUUUCCUUGUGGAUCAGCUCUCGGUGUGAUAAUUGUCUACUCCGUGGCUGUGAAACGUUAUGGCAAGCUUCUAAUCGCUGUCUUGUAAAAGAGACCUGCUUUUGACAUCUGACCUCAAAUCAGGUGGGACUACCCGCUGAACUUAA